UCCAAAUUAAAUUCCGUGGAUUUUUAGAAAUGAUUUCACGAUAGUAGGAGCGAGUACGAAGCUUGGAGAAGUUGUGGAAUUAGUUCGAACGAUUUUAUUUUCGAAAACGAACGUUUUUAGGGGGUCAACAAAGUUGACUUUUUAUACGUUCAAAAUUUGGGAAAACUUCCUUCAUGAAAGUUGUAGAGCUCGUCGAUACGAGUUCGUGGACAUGUGGAACGCAAUAUUUGGAGUUCGUAUGAAUAAGUUAUGAAUAUUUGAAAAUUGAGAAUUUUCUAUAAAUACAAAAAAUCAGAUUUCCCAAUAAGGAAACCCGAAAAUUUCCAGAUUUUUCUCCUCCUCGCUGCCUUGGCUUCACGGCGUCACCACGACUUCAUCCGGCCACCUAUGGCCAUGAAAUUGAUAUCAAUCUCUUCGCCUUGAAACCAGCUUUCCAUUCAUAUAUGUCUUGCAUCCUAUCAUUCACCAUAGACAACGAAUCGAAGCAAAGAAGGUCAGACCAUUUUUCAUGCAUUUCUUCAAAUUCCAGCCAACUCCGGCAAAGGUAGGAGGGGAGACCAACUGGGCUUUGUUCGCCUUGCCAUGCUCUAUAAACUCACCAAGUUUCACAUCUCGAUUCAACCCGAGGAAGACGAAUUUCAGAUUUAAGCGAUUUUGGGCGAUUUCGGCCUCUUUCUUCUUGAGGUGAUUGACGGUUUGAGUUGGUGGACGAUUGUGGAUCGUAUUUUGAGCUGAAUUGAAGACGCAGCGGGAUUAUCGAGCGGGUAAUCCUACAGGACAGGAGAACCAGGACGGUGAUCGCGCGGUUAGAGCAAUUGUUAGAGUUUUACAACAAUUGUAAGUUGUGAGGUGUGUUAUGCUCAUUUGAGCUUUAUAAUAUAUUGUGAGAGUGAAUUGUAAUAAUGAACUCGAAGUUUCGAGAUUUGGAUUUUGUAAUUGUAAUUAUUCAGGUUUCGGAUUUGAAUUUAUCAUUCAAAAUCCGGGGCGUGACAAAAAGAAUUAACAAAGCCCUAUUUUCCUUAUCAA